rnacentral:rRNA from 1 species
CCUACGGGUGGCAGCAGUCGAGAAUCAUUCACAAUGGGGGAAACCCUGAUGCUGCGACGCCGCGUGAGGGAAUGAAGCUCUUCGGAUGGUAACCCCCUGUCAUGUGGAAGCAAAUUAAAACGAUAGUACCACAAGAGGAAGAGGCGGCUAACUCUGGGCCAGCAGCCGCGGUAAUACGGAGGUCGCAAGCGUUGGUCGGAAUCACUGGGCGUAAAGGGGGUGUAGGCUGUGUAGUAAGUCGGGUGUGAAAGGCGCGGGCUCAACCCGCGGACGGCAGAUGAUACUGCGCGUCUUGAGUGAUGGAGGGGGAACCGGAAUUCCCGGUGUAGCAGUGAAAUGCGUAGAUAUCCGGAGGAACACCAGUGGCGAAGGCGGGUUCCUGGACAUUAACUGACGCUGAGGCACGAAGGCGAGGGGAGCGAAAGGGAUUAGAUACCCUAGUAGUC